CAUAAAGAAGCUAUUGCAGCAGUAACCUUUUAAGUUAAAGAUUGAGAUACACUUUCUCCUUUAUGA